rnacentral:rRNA from 1 species
UACGUAGGGCGCAAGCGUUGUCCGGAAUUAUUGGGCGUAAAGAGCUCGUAGGCGGCUUGUCACGUCGGGUGUGAAAGCCCGGGGCUUAACCCCGGGUCUGCAUUCGAUACGGGCUGGCUGGAGUGUGGUAGGGGAGAUCGGAAUUCCUGGUGUAGCGGUGAAAUGCGCAGAUAUCAGGAGGAACACCGGUGGCGAAGGCGGAUCUCUGGGCCAUUACUGACGCCGAGGAGCGAAAGCGUGGGGAGCGAACAGG